AAGUAUCACAAGAGCCAUGCAACGUUUCAAAAUCUCCGCCGCCAUUUUAUUUUUUUACAGAGAAAUUGUUGAUUGAAUCUGUUUGAAAAUUUCACUGAAUUUUAUCGGCAGCACGAAAAAAUUCAGUGAAAUUAUUGGACAGAUCGUUGAACAAUUUCUCUGUAAAAAAUAUAAUGGCGGUGAAACUUUUGAAACAUCUCAUGAGGCUUGUGAUACUUUGGCCGGAAGGUGACGAUUUAUACCAAGGGAGUGUACAGUAUAUGAGCAACAAAGUUCAUGGCGGCGUAAGGUAGAUUUGGUAACUUUCAUUUUCAAAACCUCCCUGCAAAUAAAUUCCUUUCAUCUAUGAUGUCCAAUUAUCCCAGAAAACUUGUACAUAACAUUACGAUUUGAUAAUACUUGAUGUUUUCCUUUUUGUACUUUAAUUCUGAGUUUUUUUUCGCAUGGUAGUAUUCUCUAAUGUGGAUCAUUGAUUUUUAGGUUGUCGAGUUGCUUUUGAAAGUCCCAUCUGACUUUGGGCCGCAAUAAUUUCGCCCUCUGCCACUGUUGGCCCUUACAGCCAACCCACAACUCCAUAUAGUGGAAUGCGGAACACGCCAUCUACAGAAAAUUUAAUGCGUCAGACAGUCAAUAGACUCUUCUCUGGUACCCCGCUCGGGCAAAGGACGCGCCGACGGAAAAGAUUCUUCGACACACCUCCAAGCCUCAAGAAACACUAAUUAGUAUCAUUCUAUUUCCCUGCUGUAAGUGCAGGAUAAUUAUAUUCUUAUUAUAUCUGUUAACUAUCUUAUUUAGUUGAAUGUGUACUUAUGUCACCCAGCCACUAACAUUAUCGUAAUUUUAAGUCUUUUCUCCUCACUAAGUGCUAGGUACCCUUUUUUGCCCUUUCUCACAAGUCAAUUUCUUCGAAUUUUCCAGUUUAUAACCACGCCUGUGCGGAAAAAUAGUCCUUUUUAAUUUUUUGGAUCAUUCGGUCAUAUUUUUGUACGUAUUUUACUAUCAGGUUUUCACUUUUGUCUGUUGAUAUUAUGCCAUAUACCUUUGUGUAGGUAGAUGUACUUAUUUAAUAACACUAAAAUAUUUUCUUAAAUUGUUACUUUUACCAAUUUUAUAUGAAAAAAAAAAGACUGUAUAUAAAUUGAUCUACAUAAUAAUGAUAUUUAAGUUAAGCUUGCGGAUCUGACUUUGAAAAUAAAUAUCUCAGGUCUAGAAAUGUCUUCAGUAUUUUUUUUUUUUUUUUUUUACAACAACUGUGUCAAGAAUUACCCCUUUUGACAGAUUUUAAGGCCUUAUUUCCAUGUGAGGUUUUCCCAUGAUGUGCACAAGGGAAAAGUAGCGCCAAUAUAGUGACAUCUCUUCAUUUAGUAGAAAGAAACCAACGGAAUUACAGUGUUUUCAAAAUCUUGCAAUUCCUUUCUUGCUUUAAAAAAAUACCACGCACAAGUACAGUCCUGCAAAAUUAACAAUUUCUUGGUAGAAAAACAAAAGAUAUUUUCUACUCAACGUAUUUUUUUUUUUUUUUUUUUUUUUUAAGGAAGAUAUACGAUUUUGAUAACGCUAAUCGUAUUGGUUCCCCUUUGCCCAAUGGGCUCCUGUUAAUCACUAUUCCAAGAGUUACUGAUAGAAGAAGAAGAAGCAAAAGCAAAUUGUAUGUCAUUUUGUUGUUCAUUUGAUUGCUUGUUUUUUUGCUUUUU
rnacentral:lncRNA from 1 species